AAGGUUUUAAGUUAAACUAAACUAAUAGCCUUCAAAGCUAUAAAUAAAGACUACUUCUUUAAGCCUUA
rnacentral:tRNA from 1 species